GAUCGAUCAAAUGUAACAAGAACAAAAAAACUGUUGAUAAAAUAUUUUGGCUGUUAUUGUUGUAAAAUGUUUUAAAAAUCUACUAAUGGUGCGUCGUGUGGGAUCUAGUGCCAAAGAGGCUAUUGCAUGCAUAGGUUGGGUAAGCAAUAGCCCGCGUCGGUUGGGAUUAUCUUCCAUAUUAUAUCUGUUGUGAAUAUGAAGCAAACAUGCAUACUGGUCUCUAAGGCUCUUCAAGCACCGGUCACCGUCCUAUCGUCAAUUACGAUGAAGAGUUCCACGUACGAAUUAGCCCGUAGAGCCAACCCAGUGAGUUUCUCGCCUCGAAGAUCGAGAUUCCGAUCCGGUGGUAGAUUCAGCGAAGCACUGCUCUUGCUGGGGCCAGUGCCAGCCAAUUCCCGUUGAGCCCGUGAACGCAACCCAACAUUCCACCUUUUCUGCCAAUUACAAAAUGACAAAAUGACGGAAAAUCGCCUUAGAUGGUAUGGCCAUAUCAUGACGGGACGAAGAUCAUGUGGUGAAGGUCGCAUUGGGCUUUCCAGAACAAAAGAAAGGUAGAGACCGCCCGCCAUCGACCUGGUGGUCAAACAUCGAAAGAGACCCUAAGAAAGCCCAAUAUCCAAAACCGACAACCCAGGACAGAUCAGCCUGGCGCCUUAGAGGGAGGAGACCUGACCCCAGAUAACGGGAACAGGGACGGAUACAAGCAAACAAGUAACUCUUCAUUAAUUUUGAUAUCUUGUAACACGUUCAUGUCUUCCUACAAGUCCUCCUACAGUCUAAAAACAAUAUAAUUACAUUUACAUGUGUUGAAAACUUAACUUUCAAAUUGAGUCUCCUGCUUUGCAUAUAAACGAAUAAACAAGUCUUGUUUAUAUUAAAAUGAGUUAAGAAGUCUGCGCGAAUAAAAACCCUUUUGUGCCGAAAAGGGAUUCAUUCGCCCAUUCAGAACCUCCGAAGUUCUUGUAAGUUGAUAAAAGAAAGUGGUAUAAGUAAACCUUAUUUUCAAAGGGGAAAGUUUUUCGCUUUAUGAUGAAUAGUCAGCUGAGGUUAUUGACGCCGCGGCACUGGCACGAAGGCUUUUAAGGGACUACAGACGUUCAGAGUGCACAUCAGUAUUCUCACACUAUAGUUGUGGUAUUCAGCUGCGUGUACAGAGUUAAUACGCUGUGAUCUCUAUAAAGCUUUUUUUUUUGAAGUGAAACUUCCUUAUCGGCGUUGGAAAAAAAUUUACCGUCACAUUUUUCGGUUACGCGUCACAUUUUUCCGUUACGCGCCAUCUGUUUUGUAUUCAUGUCUAUGAUAAUAAAAUCCUUUUGUUUAAACUUUAUCUAAUUUAACUUUUUUGUAUUCAUGUCUAUGAUAAUAAAAUCCUUUUGUUUAAACUUUAUCUAAUUUAACUUUAUUUAACCAAUUUCUAGAAAGUUGCAUGUAGAUCAUUUUUCGAAAAAUAAGGCCAUAAAUAAGUUUCACUUCUUACGUGUGUACACUAGUACACGCACACAUUUUUAUUUUUAUGAAUUAAUCCGAAUUCAAAAAUAUUCAUUUCAACUCAAACGUCUUUAAAUAGAAAGUCAAAAUGAAUAGUAAGUAACAAUCUAUUAUUUUCGGUUUUCAUAAAUCAUGGACAUCUCUAUAACUAUUUUCACGGGCUUUCUUGUGAUUAUUAUUUUGAUUUUGUUAUUCUUGACGUUUCGGAUACUUAUCAUUUUUCGUGGUUACGAAUUAAGCUUUAAAAAUGCUUCAAUUGUACCUUUCUAUCUACAUUUCAAUUCGAAUUCCAAUUUUAUUUUUGUAGAACUAUCGUUUUUCAUUAGUGCAUAUUAAAGAACCCGUCAACUGUUUACAAUAAUAUUUUCAACGACUUUGUGCCCGCCAUUUAAUUUUUUUCUUAAAAUUUACAUUUAUAGAUUGACAUUAACGUCAGCACAAACCAAUCAGGUGCAAAUUUUCUGAUAAAACGUCGGAUUGAUUGUCUCUACUCUCAUAAAAAAAUCCACCACAGUUCUCAUUUAAACGUAUUCUUUCAACCCUUUUGAAAGAUCAGAAAUCUAUACUAAUAUUAUAAAGAGGAAAGAUUUGUUUGUUUGUUUGUUUCGAAUAGGCUCCGAAACUACUGGACCGAUUUGAAAAAUUCUUUUUCCAUUAGAAGCCGACAUUGUCCCUGAUGAACAUAGGCUACUUUUUUAAAAAAAAAAUAUUUUAUUUUUUUGGUUUCAUUGGUGUUUUAAUGUUUCCGAAGCGAAGCGAGGGCGGGUCGCUAGUAGGUAAUAAUUUUGAAAGUUAAAAAGAGUUAUACGUAUCAGCUCUAUAGGAAUCUUCGAUUAUUUCGCAUUCAGCACGUCACCGUAGCUACUGGUUCGCUGUUAGAAUAGCACGAGGUGUGAACAAUAGCUCAUUAGCAGAUAGUUAUCAUUCAACGAUUAACCACCGGUGAGGAUACACGAAGCAUCACAAACAGGCGUUUAUGGAAACUUGUGAUUUACUGUGCAUUGUCGACUCUGCCAUAGCUAAGCUAUAUUUUAUGCUAUAAAAAAAACUGUGACUUGAUUUAUGUAUGUUUACAAUAACAAAAAGGUCAUAUUACAUCCCUGAGAAUUAAAAUAUGCAUCUUCACAGUCUGCGCGCAUUACAAUAAUAAAAUAUUAUAUUUUCGUAUUUACGAUUUCAAUUUACAUAUUUUAUAAGUAUUUACGUAUUUAAUAUAUUAUGAUUCUUCCAUUACCAUAAGAUUGAGCUAUUGUCAAUAACGAACGUAAUAUACCUACCAAUAAAACAUAAUGCAAAGCCAAAUUGAUCACUAAUGAGUUUAAGGUAUGUGAUGCGAUGUGAUGGUUUGUGUUCAAAUUCCAAAGGCGGGUAGGUAUCAAUUGUUUUUUAAGGUUCUAAUAGAAAAACGGACUUCACGAAACAUGUGCUCACGAAUGACUUUCCCAACGAAGGAAUAAUAAAUAGUAAGUAUCACCUAACAAAAAUCAAAAACCCAAAAUUUUUAAUUUACGUAAUUAGUAGUGGUGUUGCAAGCUCACGAAAAAUCAGUAUCAUUCUGCCUAUUUCUGCCGCGAAAUAUUCAUGUUUCCGGUUGGAAGACUGGACCAACAAUAUUAUUGAGACCUCGACCUCAUGUCACAAGAUGUGCAGCAGCUUUCAUGUCAUAACAUCUCAGAGUUCGAUGAUCCAUGAACCCCAGAUAGUUUAUACCCUAUAGUUAUAUCUAAUCAAUAAAACAAUAAAAACAGAAAAAAGUGAAAAUAUAGAUAAGACAAUAAUAAAAAUUAAUUUCCAUGAGAAAAUUUAUAAAGAAUCCGAAACAUCGACUUCAAAUCUUUACUUGGCAAGAGUCUCUGUCAUAGUUUUUUAUACGUUUAAUAUUGCAAUGGUACGUAAAUACUCGUAGUAAAAACAAUAAAUUUAUAAAAUCCCAAAAUUCCUCACAUUUAAAUGUUACAUUUUAUAUUGUAUCUGUGUUGGAAUAUUUUUUGCUACAUUGAAACAAUCUGACCUAGUUUCAUCUCUUCACAGUUUCUUAUGACUUUUUGGUUUAUCACAAUAAUACAAUAUUGAAACAAAAAACAACUAAUGACUUCAACAAAUUAAAAUGAGAAUACAAUGUAGACGAAGCUAAUUAAAUAUGUAUUAUUAUGUAUAGCUCAAUAACUGGAAAUGGGACCACAUGAGAAGCACCAAGUUUAAUUAAAAAGAUUAUUUGAAAUUGGCUCGCUGAAAAGAACCUGAGGUAACAUUUAAAAAUAUAAAAGUCCAAUUGGAACCUCCACGUUUUUUUAACUCGAUUAAAAACUACACGAAACUAGAUUAUAAUAAACACGGCAGUCGAGCGCUUAUUGGGGGGGAAAUCAAAGGUCACAAUAUUUCGUAAAUGCUAAACAUACACGCCUCUCAGCACAAGUGAUAAAAUGGAGCGCUACGCAAGCAUCGGAGAGAGAAGACAUUUCCGUGUGUCACCGGAUUUCGUACAAAUUACUACAACAAUACUUUAUUACACUACAAUACUUUAUAAAUCGUCCUCUUUCAAUCUUCGUCGUAUAUGUCACUCUACAAUCAUAGAUAUUUUCCCAGGCUCCAGAUUUAGCAAUGCCCAUUACUUUUGAAAUAGAGGAAGACAGCAAAGUAGAUGGGAAGAUGACAUCAAAAAAGUGGCAGGAACGACUUGGAUGAGAAAAACGCAGGAUAGAUUAUUAUGGAGAACCCUUGGGGAGGCCUAUGCUGUACAGCAAGACGAUCAAGAAACCGGUGUCGAAUACUAAAACUAGAUAAUAAGUGUAUUAAAAAUGUAACUUAAAUUAGAUUGUUAAUAAAGGCUUAUAUUGUAUUAUUA